AUUCGAUUUUUUCAUCUUUUUAUUUUCGUUACUCUUGUUGUUGGUUUAAGAGCUCUGCUUCUGACAGGAACUUCCAGCUUUACUUCUGACAUUAACGGAAGACCCACUCGUUGCUUUGCAACGAGCUUUGCUCUAGUUUUUAGGGUCUUCCGUUUCCAACGGAAGACCCUCUUGUUAUUCUAUUGUUUCUUUUUAUUAUUAUUAUUAUUAUUAUUCUUUUUCUUUAUUUUUCUGACUUUUUUGAAGCUUCAUAUCUUAAAAAGUUUUCAACCGAUUUCAAUGAAACUUUCAGAGGUUACGUGACAUUAUCGUCCCUUAAAGAUGUGUAAGUUUCCAUUACAGCCUCACUUCCGUUUUUACGUUACGUCAAUUUUAAAACUUUUAAAAAGUGAUUUUGUCCAGGGCGUUUUUCAAAAACGCUUUAAGAUAGAGACUUAAAAUUUUCUGUGUUCAUACAUUGAUCAUUUUUAUUGGGACAUAAGGCUGGAAUUCACCUUCCGUCACUUCCGGUCCAAACUGGGAGUAUUUCAAAAUUUUCGAAAUUUUCAAUUUUUUGUGUUAACUUAAAAAGUUGAUGCUAUUUAUAGUGUUUUUCAUGCUUAAUACUAAACUGAAAUCCGUUUUAAACUCGGAUGACGCAUUGCAGAGAUAUCAGGGUUCAAAAAUUGAUUUUUCCGGAAAUUUUGAUUCCGCGUUUUUUGGUUCAGAAAAUAGUCUUAAGCUCAACGUCAAAAUAACUCGUUCCAAACGAAUUCGAAAAUUGCCUGCUGAUCAUAAAACAGAAAUCUGAUUUGAAAAAAAUUAAAGUUAAUCAGCGUGGGCAUUGAAAUGAUAUCGUUAAUUUGAUUGAUAAGUACGUUGAAUAUGUGAUACCAGUUUAGAAAAUAGCGACUUUUUUUUAUCUGAAUCAUAAUAAAAAAGAAGCAGGAGUAACACACUGUUCCCGAUUUAAACAGCGAAAAGCUAUUGAAAGUCAUUACGGUAGUUAAGAAAGACUUUGCUGAGACUUGAAAUAAGCGUAAGUGCAAUAUAAGCCAUGCUCGUCAGACAGUUGUUGUAUAAUAGAACAACACGUACACAUGUAUAAUUGAAUGAAGAGUUUGUAAAUAUUUCAAUUCACCUAUUUAUUAUAAUUUUACUCACAAAAUAAAUGCAUAAAUGCAAGUUAUACAAGUUAAUUUGUUCUCUGCAUAUCAAACACAAACAUGUUUGUUUUGAUCGAAAUAAAUAUCGUACGAUCACCACGUCCACGCGCCUUGUUUUGAUUGUGAACAGCUGACAGUAAAGUGUCCACAUUUUCAUAUGAAACAUGGCUUGCAAAACUUCGAUAGUGGAAAAUGCAUCUCAACUUUCCUUUGGGAGAUUAUAAAGCCCAAAAAGACUCUUGUUCCCACAUGGCGACUACAUGGCUUUUACUUGUUCAUUCUUGUGGAUUCAGCUCAUGAGGUUACCCGUUCAACUUUACCCACAUGCAUGAUUCCUUGUGUUUUACAGACUUUUUACCGGUAAUUCAAAUUCAAUACGAUAAAGCGUGAACAAUAAUGGAACUUUAAGAUAGCAUCAUGCUUGUUGUGUUUGACAAGAAAUUAUGACAAACAAGAUUAAGGCUGUUUAAAGAAAUUUACAAUUUUUAUUUGUUAGUUGUGAAAAUUGGUUUCUCAAUAAAAGUAUGCAAUUAUG